rnacentral:rRNA from 1 species
CGCAGCCCUCCGGGGCAUUGGAGACAGGUGGUGCAUGGCUGUCGUCAGCCCGUGUCGUGAGAUGUUGGGUUAAGUCCCGCAACGAGCGCAACCCUUAUCCUUAGUAGCCAGCAGGUAAAGCCGGGCACUCUAGGGAGACUGCCGGGGACAACCCGGAGGAAGGCAGGGAUGACGUCAAAUCAUCAUGCCCCUUAUGGCCGGGGCUACACACGUGCUACAAUGGCGCAGACAGAGGGAGGCGACCCUGUGAAGGCAAGCAAAUCCCGGAAAGAGCGCCCCAGUUCGGAUUGUAGUCUGCAACCCGACUACAUGAAGCCGGAAUCGCUAGUAAUCGCGGAUCAGAAUGCCGCGGUGAAUACGUUCCCGGGUCUUGUACACACCGCCCGUCACACCAUGGGAGCCGGGAAUGCCCGAAGUCGGUGACCCAACCGUAAGGAGGGAGCCGCCGAAGGCAGGCCUGGUAACUGGGGUGAAGUCGUAACAAGGUAGCCGUAUCGGAAG